GUCCACUGCUGUGUCUCAGCUUGCUAACCCUUUCACGCCACCAUUUUACACACAGCACGUUUUCAGGCAAGAGCAGCAAAAUGCCAGAGAGAAAAUCUGCUAAAGAGUGCAGGAAAAGGCAUCACCUUUAUGGAAUUGAAGCCUGAAGGCAUGGGAAGCUUAUUUUUAAAUCUUCUAGUCCAUAGAAAUUUUUCAGUAACAUCCAGUCUGAACAACGUGAGAGAAGCUGAAGACUGGCUGACCUACAUUGGAAGAAUCAGUCCCAAAGGUUGCUCACUGGACAGAGAAAGAUGCAAAAGCUGAACCAUUCCUAGAGAAAAAAGAAUGAUGAGUGCAUGAAAAAGACACCUGGACACAUUAUUCAUUUUAAAAGGGUGCAAAACUGAAGGAAAGACAUUUAAUAUCAAAAGAGGACAAAGAAGAUUCAACACAGCCUCAGUAAAACAAGAUACAGUUGGCUAAGGAGGAACAUUGAGCAGGACCACAGAGGCUUUUGGUUUCCUGAAGAGAAUCUCUUGGGUCAUUUACCUUUUCAUAGAUUUGAGCUAGGUGCAAGUCAGAGAAAAAUAAGACCUCAAAGAAGGAACUGAAGGAAAACAAAAAGUUUUUUCACAGUUUUUGACUGUGUUCAGAAGAGACGAAGACUGAA